rnacentral:tRNA from 1 species
GGAAGCGUGCCUGAAAGCUAGGGACCUCCUUGAUAUGGAGACUCAUAGGGGUUCAAACCCCCUCACUUCCC